rnacentral:misc_RNA from 1 species
UGGCUACGUCUGCAUUCAAGCUCAGUACCACGGGGCUGUCCCCACGGGGCACAUACUGCCAUCUCCCCUCGUCCUGCGUCCCGGACCCAUCUACGCUGAGGACGGAGACCGCGGCAUCAACCAGCCCAUCAUCUACAGCAUCUUUAGGGACUCGGGCAACCUCACCGUGGCCAGGAGUGUCCCCAGCCCCAUGACCUUCCUUCUGCUGGUGAAGGGCCAACAGGCCGACCUUGCCCGCUACUCAGUGACCCAGGUCACCGUGGAGGCUGUGGCUGCGGCCGGGAGCCCGCCCCGCUUCCCCCAGAGCCUGUAUCGUGGCACCGUGGCGCGUGGCGCUGGAGCGGGCGUUGUGGUCAAGGAUGCAGCUGCCCCUUCUCAGCCUCUGAGGAUCCAGGCUCAGGACCCGGA